rnacentral:rRNA from 1 species
AACGAACGUUAGCGGCGCGCCUAACACAUGCAAGUCGAGCGAGAAGGAAGCAAUUCCUGUAAAGCGGCGCACGGGUGAGUAACACGUAGGUAAUCUACCUCGAAGUGGUGGAUAACCUUCCGAAAGGAGGGCUAAUACAGCAUGAGACCACGGUUUCGAAAGAGAUUGAGGUCAAAGCGGGCCACUAUACAUAAGCUCGCGCUUCGAGAUGAGCCUGCGGCCCAUCAUGGUAGUUGGUAGGGUAAUGGCCUACCAAGCCGAAGACGGGUAGCUGGUCUGAGAGGAUGAUCAGCCACACUGGAACUGAGACACGGUCCAGACUCCUACGGGAGGCAGCAGUGGGGAAUCUUGCGCAAUGGGCGAAAGCCUGACGCAACGACGCCGCGUGAGUGAUGAAGGCC